rnacentral:siRNA from 1 species
UUAGUUCUGCAUAUGAUUUGAGUU